CCGAAGGGAGUAGUGAGGACCAGUAUAUAGCGGGUGGUGGCCUGAGCUUCACGUGUUGCAUUGCUUUCAUAUGCAUGCGUGUCCAUAAGUGUCAGGCCAGUGGGUACCAUAUAUGGGUGCAUCAUUAACCAUUUUUAUUAAAGUCUUGUAGAUGUAAAUGCGUGGCCCCUUUCGCUGCAAGCAAUAUAUAUCACCACGUGUGAGGACCCUUGAGGUGUAGACGUCGAUCCACUUGUUGUUGCCCCAUCCCGCUCACGCUCCCUUCGUCAAAUAGUUGGCGUGCAUGGGAUUUAUCGAAUAUUUUUGCCUUGAAAUUUGAAGUUCCUCUUUAUUCCUGCGAUAACAGCGUCACAUCAUUCACCAUAAAAUGGGGAAGACGAUCUAGCCACGAGUGCUUCGAUAUUUUGCGAGAUAGUAUAGUCUAUGAGCUACUGUAUUUUGUGAGAUAGAUUAUGUAGUUCACUCUUGCAAAGUCCCGUUCCAAGGAACAACGUUCAUGCAGAUGGCUGCCACGAUCCAGUGGCUUGGUUAUCGUUCUUCAUAGUAUCUACUUCUAGAUUAUCAGAACCGACAACAUUUCUGUGGCAUCCAAUUGUUUAAGUAAGAAAUGGUGUAAAUGGGCACCAAUAAGGCAAUUGACUGCUUUCCUUAUGUUGAGUGCUGAUCAACUAGCUAACUGCUCUAACAUCAGUGCACCACUCCCUCGUUAAGGAAAACGUGCCAAUGGUCCUCACCACCUAUUAUCAUCCUGCUCUCCCUCCCUCCCUCCCUCUCCCUCUCUCUCUCUCUCACACACACACACACACACACACGCGUGCGCACACAUACACACACACACACACACACACAACCAACCAACCAACCAAUCAGUGAGGUACGUGGUGGUUGGAAUCAUGGCACAUGGCCGUGAUGAUGAACAUGGUUAUCAUGGCGGGUGGAUGAAGUUAUAGGUCCGAUCGAGCGCUCGAUCGAACCAUGCAGAGAGUAGUGGCCAGGAUGAGUUCACUGUGGGUGGCUCGGAAGGAGGACACAUGGAAGGCCUUUGGAUGGAGAUGACAUGUAAUUGGUAUUCCCUCCGUUCCAUAUAGUGUUAAAAACGUUCUUAUAUUAUCAGAUAGAGGGAGUAUGUGGUAGUGGCCGUGUUGUGCACCUCCCAUAUGGUUGAUGUAUGUAUCGGCCCUCUUGUUUUAUUUCAUGGAAAACAAAGCCCAUGUUAGAUGAAAACACAUGCACAUUUUUGCAGAGACAAAACUCCAUUCCAUUCAAAAUUAAUGUAUGUAAUCUUCACAGUGAGUUUUAUGUUGGUGCAAGCAAACUCCUAUUUUAGUGAAAGCAAUCAUCCCGGCGCUGGAAGCCAAAUAUUGGUGUACAUGUUAUUUUUGUGUGCAUUCGACAUAAACUUCCAUUUUAGGUUCACUGACAAUGUUUGUAACACUUCCUCGGACGGCUGCACACAAGUCUCCUAGGAAGGUCAGCUAGUACCUCAAUAAGUGACAAUUGGAAAACACAAGAUGAACACGUUUGGUUUGACUAGGCCAACAUUGUGUAUGACAUGCCUAACGCUCUCUUGUUCAUGCAUGUAGUUUAUAAUCGAAGCAAUCUUGGCAAUGUAUGUAAAACGUAGGACUUUUGCAAAAUUCCAAAAUUAUGUGUAGUCAUACAAUCAAUCAACCACGGUAUCACUAAUUGCAUAUCGUCAUCUUAGUCAUAGUCAACCUUGUUUGAAUCUUUACCUAAUAAUAAAGAGGCUAUCGCUUUCGUCGGAAAACCCACCGAGAUGAUUUUACAAAAAAACACUUACU
rnacentral:lncRNA from 1 species